rnacentral:rRNA from 1 species
AGCGAACGCUGGCGGCAGGCCUAACACAUGCAAGUCGAACGAACUCUUCGGAGUUAGUGGCGGACGGGUGAGCAACACGUUGGAACGUGCCUUUUGGAUCGGCCUAACUCAGGGAAAUUUGUGCUAAUACCGAAUGUGACUUUCGGGGGCAAGAUUUAUCGCCAUUAGAGCUGGCCGCGUCUGAUUAGCUAGUUGGUGAGGUAACGGCACACCAAGGUGACGAUCAGUAGCUGGUCUGAGAGGAGGACCAGCCACACUGGCACUGAGACACGGCCCAGACUCCUACGGGAGGCAGGAGUAGAGAGUCUUGCGCAAUGGGCGAAAGCCUGACGCAGCCAUGCCGCGUGAAUGAUGAAGGUCGUAGGAUUGUAAAGUUCUUUCACCGGGGACGAUAAUGACGGUACCCGGAGAAGAAGCCCCGGCUAACUACGUG